rnacentral:rRNA from 1 species
AGCGGCGGACGGGUGAGUAAUGCCUGGGAAUAUGCCCUGAUGUGGGGGAUAACUAUUGGAAACGAUAGCUAAUACCGCAUAAUCUCUUCGGAGCAAAGAGGGGGACCUUCGGGCCUCUCGCGUCAGGAUUAGCCCAGGUGGGAUUAGCUUGUUGGUGAGGUAAUGGCUCACCAAGGCAACGAUCCCUAGCUGGUCCGAGAGGAUGAUCAGCCACACUGGAACUGAGACACGGUCCAGACUCCUACGGGAGGCAGCAGUGGGGAAUAUUGCACAAUGGGGGAAACCCUGAUGCAGCCAUGCCGCGUGUGUGAAGAAGGCCUUCGGGUUGUAAAGCACUUUCAGUAGGGAGGAGGGUAGUGUAGUUAACACCUGCAUUAUUUGACGUUACCUACAGAAGAAGCACCGGCUAACUCCGUGCCAGCAGCCGCGGUAAUACGGAGGGUGCGAGCGUUAAUCGGAAUUACUGGGCGUAAAGCGCAUGCAGGCGGCCUGUUAAGUCAGAUGUGAAAGCCCGGGGCUUAACCUCGGAAUUGCAUUUGAAACUGGCAGG